UAGGGAAUCUUCCACAAUGGACGCAAGUCUGAUGGAGCAACGCCGCGUGAGUGAAGAAGGUUUUCGGACCGUAAAGCUCUGUUGUUGGUGAAGAAGGAUAGAGGUAGUAACUGGCCUUUAUUUGACGGUAAUCAACCAGAAAGUCACGGCUAACUACGUGCCAGCAGCCGCGGUAAUACGUAGGUGGCAAGCGUUGUCCGGAUUUAUUGGGCGUAAAGCGAGCGCAGGCGGAAGAAUAAGUCUGAUGUGAAAGCCCUCGGCUUAACCGAGGAAUUGCAUCGGAAACUGUUUUUCUUGAGUGCAGAAGAGGAGAGUAGAACUCCAUGUGUAGCGGUGGAAUGCGUAGAUAUAUGGAAGAAUACCAGUGGCGAAGGCGGCUCUCUGGUCUGCAACUGACGCUGAGGCUCGAAAGCAUGGUAGCGAACAGGAUUAGAUACCCUGGUAGUCCAUGCCGUAAACGAUGAGUGCUAAGUGUUGGGAGGCUUCCGCCUCUCAGUGCUGCAGCUAACGCAUUAAGCACUCCGCCUGGGGGAGUACGACCGCAAGGUUGAAAC
rnacentral:rRNA from 1 species